GCCCCGGCCACUCCACACCAAUGGUCGGCAAGCUGUGAAAAAAAGGAGGAAAAAACGCCCCGGCUCGGGCUGCGGCAGUGUGGAGACCUGUCGUAACGCCGGAUGCGCAAGCACCGGCGAGGGCACAUCAGGCGGAGGCCGUGUGUCCGGAGUCGAAAACUAUGGCA
rnacentral:ncRNA from 1 species